rnacentral:rRNA from 1 species
AGUGAACGCUGGCGGUAGGCCUAACACAUGCAAGUCGAACGGCAGCACAGUAAGAGCUUGCUCUUACGGGUGGCGAGUGGCGGACGGGUGAGGAAUACAUCGGAAUCUACUUUUUCGUGGGGGAUAACGUAGGGAAACUUACGCUAAUACCGCAUACGACCUACGGGUGAAAGCAGGGGAUCUUCGGACCUUGCGCGAUUGAAUGAGCCGAUGUCGGAUUGGCUAGUUGGCGGGGUAAAGGCCCACCAAGGCGACGAUCAGUAGCUGGUCUGAGAGGAUGAUCAGCCACACUGGAACUGAGACACGGUCCAGACUCCUACGGGAGGCAGCAGUGGGGAAUAUUGGACAAUGGGCGCAAGCCUGAUCCAGCCAUACCGCGUGGGUGAAGAAGGCCUUCGGGUUGUAAAGCCCUUUUGUUGGGAAAGAAAAGCAGCAGGUUAAUACCCCGCUGUUCUGACGGUACCCAAAGAAUAAGCACCGGCUAACUUCGUG